AUCUCGUGAAAGACGAUGGUAGUGAGAUACGGAAGAACUAAGCAUCUUGCUACUCCGUCUUUUCCUAAGAU
rfam:Hydatigera taeniaeformis genome assembly, scaffold: TTAC_scaffold0000195